GAUGAACGCUGGCGGCGUGCCUAAUACAUGCAAGUCGAGCGAACGGACGAGAAGCUUGCUUCUCUGAUGUUAGCGGCGGACGGGUGAGUAACACGUGGAUAACCUACCUAUAAGAUUGGGAUAACUUCGGGAAACCGGAGCUAAUACCGGAUAAUAUUUUGAACCGCAUGGUUCAAAAGUGAAAGACGGUCUUGCUGUCACUUAUAGAUGGAUCCGCGCUGCAUUAGCUAGUUGGUAAGGUAACGGCUUACCAAGGCAACGAUGCAUAGCCGACCUGAGAGGGUGAUGGGCCCCACUGGAGAUGGGGCCGGGGCCGAAACCCUGCGGGAGGCACAGGUGGGAAUUCUUCCGCAUGGGGCGAAAGCCUGACGGAGCAACGCGGCGUGAGGGUGAAAGGUCUUCGGCUCGUAAAACUCUGUUAUUGGGGAAGACCAAAUUUGUAAGAACCGGGACCAUUUUGACGGUAACCUAAUAAGAAGCCCCGGCCAACUUCGUG
rnacentral:rRNA from 1 species